GAUUUUCCAGGCAAGAAUACUGGAGUGGGUUGCCAUUGCCUUCUCCGGGGAAGUAUGCUAGAACUUCUUAUACAUAUUUUAUCUUGUCUUUGUGACAACCAGGAAAGUUAGGUAUUAUACUUCCCAGUGAAGAGAAGCCCAGAGAGAAUCAGUCCCAGUCAGUGGCUGAUCCAAGAUCCAGACUUGGAUCAACCUCAUUUCUAAGCCCAAAUUCUUUUCUCUUAAGUUCUGCUGCCUUCCAGAAAGCAAAGCCCCAAAGAUAAUCUCAUUGGAAGUUUCGACGAAAUGGCAACCCACUCCAGUAUUCUUGCCUGGAGAAUCCCAUGGAUAGANNNNNNNNNNNNNNNNNNNNNNNNNGUCGCAAAGAGUCGGACACGACUGAGCGACUUCACUUCACUUCACUUAGUCAAAAAAACAACGGAAAAAAGGAACGCAUGUGUGAACAGACUCUAUCGGGGGUAUCCAAAAAGCGCUUCACGGACCGAUACUGGACCUUAGAGAGGCUAUCCGUACCCCCCACCCCCGCCCCAAUAUUUCCGCCUCUCGGCUUCCGCAGGUGUUAACUGUUACCCAGGAAAACCGCAGCGCGCAGAGAGGUAGUGAGAAGGUUAUGGUAGAGAGCUGAUGUCUAGCGAUCUGGAGACGGCAGUCUUGAAAAUGUGUAUUCAAUCUGUCCUCGUUCACUUCCACUACCUCUUCCCCACCCAGCUAUUCGCUAAUAGCCUUGUAAUUCUCCCCUAUUCAAACUGUCCUCCCCCAAACCCUCCUUCACCCGCCAGAUAAUCGGAUCGUGUCAUUCCUCUCGUCUGAACCCUCCGUGGCUGCUCCUUGCUUCGAGGAUGAAGUUUAAACACCCUUCCAAACCCUCCGCGUUCGGCCCCUGCUCAGUACUCUGGCUUGAACUCACGUGUUCGCCUUGCCCCUCCACCCCCCACGCAGGCCCUUUCCUCCCUCAGCUCUUCUGCGCAGCAGCCCUGACAAUUCUGAGAGCUAUUGAAGGAGCUGAGAUUCAGAGAGACUGGAUCAUUUACUCCAGACACAUUCACUUUCUGGGCCUAAAGUGGACUCGGGGAGCACUUCCUACAGUUUUAAGUGCCUUAGGAUGGUCUCCUGACUCAUCUUCAAGAGAUGUUCUUCCAGAUGGGAUCAAGUUCAAGAAAGGAAGCCUUGGAGGGAUGCAGUUUCAGGGGGGUUUUAUGCAAUAA
rnacentral:lncRNA from 1 species